rnacentral:tRNA from 1 species
GAGGGUAUAGCUCAAUGGGAGAGCACAUGCCUAGCAUGCAUGAGGUCCUGGGUUCAAUCCCCAGUACCUCCU